GGGCUCAUAGCUCAACGGCAGAGCGGCCGGCUCAUAACCGGCUGGUUGGGGGUUCGAAUCCCUCUGAGCCCACCG
rnacentral:tRNA from 1 species